UACAGAGGGGGCAAGCGUUGUUCGGAAUUACUGGGCGUAAAGGGCGCGUAGGCGGCCCUCUAAGUCGAACGUGAAAUCCCUGGGCUCAACCCAGGAACUGCGUCCGAGACUGGGGGCUAGAAUCCGGGAGAGGGAUGUGGAAUUCCAGGUGUAGCGGUGAAAUGCGUAGAUAUCUGGAGGAACAUCGGUGGCGAAGGCGGCAUCCUGGACCGGUAUUGACGCUGAGGCGCGAAAGCCAGGGGAGCAAACGGG
rnacentral:rRNA from 1 species